UAAACAUCACUCAAAAAAGUACAUUCCAUAUAUUGAUUUAAAAAGAGAAGUACAAAGGAAUGUAACAUACAAGGAAGAUUACAAAAGAUGAAUGAUCUAUUUAGUACUAGGGGGAGAGAUGAAUCUUUAGAGCCAUUAUCAUCUUGGUCUUCUACAGAAAAGUCUUUAUCAAUGGCAGCGUUGGUAUUGUCUCCCGAAACCCCCUCUUCUUCAUCUUCACCUUCAUCCUCGUCUUCCGCAAGCGCCCGAUCUCGUAUCUCAGUGGCCUCUUUUG
rnacentral:lncRNA from 1 species